rnacentral:snoRNA from 1 species
AUCCUUGAGUUCAUAAGCAUGAUGAUUGGGUGUUCACGCUAUUGUGUGUGAUGUGCCUCCCUCUAAACUUGUUACAACAUCGGCACAUAACCUGUCUGACA